rnacentral:rRNA from 1 species
GACGAACGCUGGCGGCGUGCUUAACACAUGCAAGUCGAACGGAAAGGCCCUGCUUUUGUGGGGUGCUCGAGUUGCGAACGGGUGAGUAACACGUGAGUAACCUGCCCUUGACUUUGGGAUAACUUCAGGAAACUGGGGCUAAUACCGGAUAGGAGCUCCUGCUGCAUGGUGGGGGUUGGAAAGUUUCGGCGGUUGGGGAUGGACUCGCGGCGUAUCAGCUUGUUGGUGGGGUAGUGGCUUACCAAGGCUUUGACGGGUAGCCGACCUGCGAGGGUGACCGGCCACAUUGGGACGGAGAUGCGGCACAGACUCCUACGGGAGGCAGCAGAGGGGUAUAUUGCACAAUGGGCGGAAGCCUGAUGCAGCAACGCCGCGUGCGGGAUGACGGCCUUCGGGUUGUAAACCGCUUUCGCCUGUGACGAAGCGUGAGUGACGGUAAUGGGUAAAGAAGCACCGGCUAACUACGUG